GCAAGUCGAACGGUAACAUUUCUAGCUUGCUAGAAGAUGACGAGUGGCGGACGGGUGAGUAAUGCUUGGGAACAUGCCUUUGUGAGGGGGAUAACAGUUGGAAACGACUGCUAAUACCGCAUAAUGUCUACGGACCAAACGGGGCUUCGGCUCCGGCGCAAAGAGUGGCCCAAGUGAGAUUAGCUAGUUGGUGAGGUAAGAGCUCACCAAGGCGACGAUCUCUAGCUGUUCUGAGAGGAAGAUC
rnacentral:rRNA from 1 species